UGGCGAUGGAGGGAGCUGUUACUGCACAAACCUGAAGCCCCACCGAAACCAAAAUUUAUAAAUGAAUCUCAUUCACAGGACUUCCUCUGUUCUCCUCUCCUCCCCUGGAGUGCUGUCUGUCAACAACUCAACUGCACAAUAUCCGCUGAAUCCACUUCCACAAUUUACUUGAUUGUAACAGGCUUCUGCUGGUCAGGCGCAGCUAAGUGUAUCGGCUACACGCCCAAUCUCUCGAUUCUGCUGGAAGGCUGCCAGCCACAGGUCACAUGACCUGGAAGAAAAAACCUGGGAGACUUUUGGGAUCCCUAUUCGCAUGGGCUGGCUAUCAACCUGAAGGGAAGUCCAAAGGCUGAUGAACUGGUCUGUGUCUGUGUGAGACCGCAUUGCUCUGGUGUCCUAUAUGCCCUGGGAACACAACACCCAGAGCAAAUCUGCCUCUGUAACAACCUGACGCAGUAGACUAUGUUGUGUGGACAAUUUGUGAGUA